rnacentral:rRNA from 1 species
GAUGAACGCUGGCGGCGUGCCUAAUAUAUGCAAGUCGAGCGAACGGACGAGAAGCUUGCUUCUCUGAUGUUAGCGGCGGACGGGUGAGUAACACGUGGAUAACCUACCUAUAAGACUGGGAUAACUUCGGGAAACCGGAGCUAAUACCGGAUAAUAUUUUGAACCGCAUGGUUCAAAAGUGAAAGACGGUCUUGCUGUCACUUAUAGAUGGAUCCGCGCUGCAUUAGCUAGUUGGUAAGGUAACGGCUUACCAAGGCAACGAUGCAUAGCCGACCUGAGAGGGUGAUCGGCCACACUGGAACUGAGACACGGUCCAGACUCCUACGGGAGGCAGCAGUAGGGAAUCUUCCGCAAUGGGCGAAAGCCUGACGGAGCAACGCCGCGUGAGUGAUGAAGGUCUUCGGAUCGUAAAACUCCGUUAUUAGGGAAGAACAUAUGUGUAAGUAACUGUGCACAUCUUGACGGUACCUAAUCAGAAAGCCACGGCUAACUACGUG